rnacentral:lncRNA from 1 species
AUGCUUUUCAUCUCUCUUUUAGGGCCUGAAAAGUCUCUUAGUCUUUCUGUGUCUCACUUUCUUCCUUGCUAAGCUAAAGGUCAGACUGUAUCUCUGAGGGCCCUCCCUGAUUACUUUUGCUGAAUCCUUCAGUGGUAUGAGGUGUGCUUUUAGGUUUUAUGGGGGACUCUACCUAAAAACUGAUUUGAUCUGCACUCUAUGUGUCUCUUACAGGAGCCCGAGCUGCAUCGAGUUCCUGAGAAACCAUUGCUGAAGGAGGAGAUGGAAGAAAAGAUGUCAGCGGGUUUGGAGGUUGAGGGUAACUCAGAAUGGGCAACGUCCUGGUGAGCCAGAAGACCUGUAUUGGGAUUUCUGAUCUGUCAGAAUAAUACUAGCUAGUAGCUGGGUGUGAUGGUGCAUGCCUGUAAUCCCAGAAUUCAGGAAGCUGAACCAAGAGGAUCACUUGGAGUUCAAGGACAGCCUGGGAUACAUAGUGAGUUCAAGGACAGCCUGAAUUACAGAGUGAGACCCUCUCAAUAAAAGUAAUAUCUGUUGGUGAGGUCGAAGUGGGGCGAAAGCAGUAUAUACAGCCAAGAUCUGAAAACUAAACUGAUGACAUCGGUAAUUCCUUGCUAUUUUCUAGACAGCAGGAGAGAUGAAGAGUCUGUGGCUCUACCUUUUCCACCACAUACGUCAUCAUGGGGAUACGCACCGGCCCUUCUUGUCAUUUAAAGGACAAAGUGAGUGUUUCAGAAACUGAACAGAAAUUACGAGUGCAGCUGGAGGAAAGUAAGGAGAACUUUUACAAACUCAAAGAACGUUUUCUUCUGUCUGAAGCUACUGUCUAUGCCAUGGCUAAUGAGCUUCAAAAGCAUGGCUGUCAAAAGUUCAAAGACAUUAUUGAGUCUGUUCUGGGCGAGGAGCUAAAUUACCUGGAAGGAAGUCUGGCCGAGAAGGGGAAGCUGGUCCCAAAUUUGAGGGAAUACAGUUUCCAAAUUCAAGACCAAGACCAGAAGCUGUCCGUAUUUCAGCAGAAAUUACAGCAGGGGAUAGAUGCCUCAUAUCUCCUGUGUAAACAUCUCACGGAUCACCUCCCCUGGGAUGACCUUAAUAAUAAUCAGGGCCACAAGUUCCAUGAGCUGUUGGCUGAGGGUUGCAGGCUGGCAGAGGACCUUGUGCGAAUUCUUAGUCCAGGUAUGGCAUCCACAAACCUCGAUUACCCUGAGGAAGUCCAAGGUCUUCAACUCACAGUACAUUUUGUCACAGAGUGACUUUU